AUGCUUACCUAGCAGGGGUAUACCAUGCUCACGUAAAUGGUGUACCCAGGGCAAGGCUUGACCCCUAGCACUCCGGGCUUGCUGAGCUCUGCGAUUUUCCGAAAAACGGGAAACUCGACUGCAUAAUUUCUGGUAGUGGGGGACUGCGUGCACGCUCUCCCCUG